ACGUAGGGGGCAAGCGUUGUUCGGAAUUACUGGGCGUAAAGGGCGCGUAGGCGGCACGACAAGUCGGGAGUGAAAGCCCGGGGCUCAACCCCGGAAUGUCUUUCGAAAUUGUCGAGCUCGAGUGCGGAAGAGGCAACUGGAAUUCCCAGUGUAGCGGUGAAAUGCGUAGAUAUUGGGAAGAACACCUGAGGCGAUGGCGGGUUGCUGGGCCGACACUGACGCUGAGGCGCGAAAGCCAGGGGAGCAAACGGGA
rnacentral:rRNA from 1 species